rnacentral:sRNA from 1 species
UGUGUUUAUAAAGUCACGCCUUUACAGACUGUAAUCGCGCGCGAGUGGAGUGGGCUUCACAAGAUAGAGUGAGUGGGGGACAAUGACAACGGCCAGGCGACCGCAAGUGACAGCGAGGGCCAAGUGAU